rnacentral:rRNA from 1 species
GAUGAACGCUGGCGGCGUGCUUAACACAUGCAAGUCGAACGGUGAAGGGGAGCUUGCUCCCCGGAUCAGUGGCGAACGGGUGAGUAACACGUGGGCAACCUGCCCCUCACUCUGGGAUAACUCCGGGAAACCGGGGCUAAUACCGGAUACGACCGGGAGCGACAUCGCUCCUGGUGGAAAGAACUUCGGUGAGGGAUGGGCCCGCGGCCUAUCAGCUAGUUGGUGGGGUAACGGCCCACCAAGGCGACGACGGGUAGCCGGCCUGAGAGGGCGACCGGCCACACUGGGACUGAGACACGGCCCAGACUCCUACGGGAGGCAGCAGUGGGGAAUAUUGCGCAAUGGGCGAAAGCCUGACGCAGCGACGCAGCGUGAGGGACGAAGGCCUUCGGGUUGUAAACCUCUUUCAGCGGGGACGAAGCGAAAGUGACGGUACCCGCAGAAGAAGCACCGGCUAACUACGUGCCAGCCGCCGCGGAAUAC